rnacentral:lncRNA from 1 species
UUUUUUUCCUCAUUCUAACCCAAGCCAAAACUUUUUGUGCAAACAAUAACUUUUGUUUUCAACAUUAGAAACCUAAGCCUUAUGCUUUUGAUUUUCAAACUUAUUUUUCAUAACACUUAUUUUGAAUUGAACCUUUUAAUCCACUUUAACCCUAUUUUUGUAAAUACUUUUAAUUGGUAAAUAUAACCCAUUCAAAUACUUUU